CUUCCUCGCAGCUGCAAGGUGUUUGGCGCUCCCAAGCUUCCGCUCCCUCCAUGGCCGCCGAGCGUCAAAUCUAGCAAACCAGAACCACCCGCGAGCAUAGCAGCAAGGGCAACUCCAUCAGCUGUUUGUGCGUGCUCGACCGUCGCCAACUGUUGACUCUCUUCCUAAAUGGCCAGUUGAUAGAUUUGGCCGAGUGGCGGCAUCGGCUCUAUCGUCAUAAUCUGUGACCUAAGGGUAGCGUACGUCUUAUUCAACCUCAGUAAGAACUGUGUCGCCUUCUCCCUUUCCUUUAUGGCCCUGUAUUGACGAAGUGUGAUUUCGGGCCCCUCCAAUCAUUCCUUGGCUGCCUCGAGCCGAUUGAAGCAAGCGGUAAACAUGAGGUUCCCUUGCUUCAAUUCGGAGAAGCCAGGAAUUGACCCACCAACUGCCCUUCAUUCCUCUUUCUAUUUUGUGCGUUGCCUAGCAAAGACCGAACGCUGCAUCUCCACCAUUUCGGUCUUUGCUUUACUUGAUCAAACACCCCAGAGAAUCGAGUCCAGCGGCUCCAUUUCAUGCCUCAACCUCACGAAGUUGCUUCCUCCUUCAAAUUACGCAAGAAGCUCCAUCGAGUCCACCCUUUUGCUGGUCCUUCACGCUUGGCCACAUUUCCAGCAAUUUUGAGUCCAACAGUCGUCCGCAGCCAAGCCCAUCUUCAGCCCAACUUGCGCGUCUCAACCCAUCAACUAAGCUUAGCUGAGCCUAACAAUUUUUGUUGUGGUUUUGCGAGGCUUUUUCGGGCCCACCCGAGCCCCCGUUGGUGUCGCCGUGAGCCCGAGUCUCGGCCAUUGUCGCCCCACCAUCGUCAUGAACCGAUUUUCAUGCUAACCGGACCAUAAAUGGAGGACCUAGAGCUAAGCUAAGGUGACCGGAAGUAUAGGUCAAAUAGGACAAUCUUUUUGGGAGUCAGUCUUUUGAAAUCUUUUGAGCAUGGGAUUUUGUACAUGGCUCGGUAUAUUUAUAUAAUCAUGGUUGUUUGUGAA